rnacentral:tRNA from 1 species
CAGAAAAUAGUUUUAAGAAAAAUAUUAAUUUUGGAGAUUAAAGAUGAGUGUAUAUUUUUUCUGA